rnacentral:rRNA from 1 species
AUUGAACGCUGGCGGCAUGCUUACACAUGCAAGUCGGACGAGUGGCGAACGGGUGAGUAAUACAUCGGAACGUGUCCAGUAGUGGGGGAUAGCCCGGCGAAAGACGGUUAAUACCGCAUACUACAGGGGCGGCAGCUGGCGUAGUAGGUAGUUGGGGGGGUAAAGGCCUACCAAUCCGACGAUCUGUAGCUGGUCUGAGAGGAAGACCAGCCACAUGGGGACGGAGACACGGCCCAGACUCCUACGGGAGGCAGCAGUGGGGAAUUUUGGACAAUGGGGGCAACCCUGAUCCAGCAAUGCCGCGUGUGUGAAUAAGGCUUCGGGUUGUAAAGCACUUUUGUCCGGAAAGCGGUACCGGAAGAAUAAGCACCGGCUAACUACGUGCCAGCAGCCGCGGUAAUAC